CCUACGGGUGGCAGCAGUGAGGAAUAUUGGUCAAUGGACGAGAGUCUGAACCAGCCAAGUAGCGUGAAGGAUGACUGCCCUAUGGGUUGUAAACUUCUUUUAUAUGGGAAUAAAAUGUUCCACGUGUGGGAUUUUGUAUGUACCAUAUGAAUAAGGAUCGGCUAACUCCGUGCCAGCAGCCGCGGUAAUACGGAGGGUCCGAGCGUUAUCCGGAUUUAUUGGGUUUAAAGGGAGCGUAGGUGGAUUGUUAAGUCAGUUGUGAAAGUUUGCGGCUCAACCGUAAAAUUGCAGUUGAAACUGGCAGUCUUGAGUACAGUAGAGGUGGGCGGAAUUCGUGGUGUAGCGGUGAAAUGCGUAGAUAUCACGAAGAACUCCGAUUGCGAAGGCAGUUCACUGGACUGCAACUGACACUGAGGCUCGAAAGUGUGGGUAUCAAACAGGAUUAGAUACCCUUGUAGUC
rnacentral:rRNA from 1 species